GGUGUUAGUUCAGUUGGGUAGAGCAUGGUGCUAAUAACACCAAGGUUGUGGGUUCGAUCCCCAUGUGGGCCA